UUACUUACCUGGACGGGGUCAAUGGGUGAUCAAGAAGGCCCAUGGCCUAGGCUAGUGACCUCCAUUGCACUCAGGAGGGGUGCUUGCCUAAGGUCUCCCCAAUGUGGGAGAGCCUACGUCAUAAUUUGUGGUAGUGGGGGCCUGCGUUCGCGCGGCCCCUAC